CAUGCAGGCGGUCGGACGCGUUUUGUGUGACAGCGGGUGGCUCAACUACCCGAGCAUGCGAAAGACGGUUGGACUUGAGGGCUCGAGAGGGACACGGAAUUCCGGGUGGAGUGGUGAAAUGCGUAGAGAUCCGGAGGAACACCGAAGGCGAAGGCAGUGUCCUGGCGAGUGACUGACGCUGAGGUGCGAAAGCCAGGGGAGCGAACG
rnacentral:rRNA from 1 species